rnacentral:lncRNA from 1 species
UAUUGUAUCUUCUAUGCCUGACAUUCUGUCUUCUGCCUCCUAUAUUAUGUUGGCAAUGCUUGAUUCAGUUGUUUAUGUUCUCUCCCCAAGGUUUUCCAUCUCAAGAAUUCCCUCAGUUCUUCUUCAUCUUCUUCAUCUUCUAUUUCCACUUUCACAUCUUGCAUAGUUUUAUUUCCUUCACCAGUUUAAUUGUAUUUUCCUGUAUCUUUUUCAGAAAUUUAUUUGUUUUCUCUUUGAUGACCUCUGCCUAUUUGAUUGUAUUUUCUUGUAUUUCUUUAAUGGAUUUACUCAUUUCUGCUUUAAAGUUCUCUGUCAUCUUUAUAAGAUUGGAGUUAAGGUCACCUUCUUGUGCUUUGGUGGUGUUACUAUAUCCAGGCCUUGCUGUAGUAGGACAGCUGUGCUCUGAAGGUGUCCUAUUACCUUGGAAUUUGUUGAUAGUCCACUUUCAAUGGCCUUUAUCCAACUGGGUGACUUUGUAAACUGGAUGUUUCUGUUGCAGUUAGUAUUCGGAGGGGGGUUAACCUGGAUGAUCCUGUUUUGGCAGAAGAAUAGAGGUCACCUGGGGAUAGCAGACUGCUUAGUGCAGCUUGUGGUGCCCCAGAGGGCUCAGAGAGUAAGGAAGAUGGAUGAGGGAAGGGAACCUGAACUGUGUUGUGGUGAUUUUAUAUGAAAAUCCUAAGAUCAAGGAUUGGAGAGGUGAAUCAUUUACUAGGGGAGAUUAUUGUAAAGCUUGAGGAACUGAAUUUAGAUCCUUAUAAUACCUUAAAAAGCUGAGAAUAGCUUUACAUACCUGUCCUUUGGUUGAACAUGGAGGAACACUCUUCUUCCUCCUUGGAUGUUCAUUGGAAAUUACUGCAGACCAACCUUGCUGAAAUCUGGCAGACUCCAAUCCAAUCAGAUACUCUUCACCAUGGAAAUAAAUUUAGUGAUCAAUAACAAUUCACUGCAUGCCCCUCUAUAGUCAUACAGACAUGUGUAUCAACAUAUGUAUAUAUUUUUGUAAGUGCUAUUAAAGAAUAACAUACUUCCCUCUAGUAUAACUAAAUUAAAAUAUAAAAUAUAAAAUACACAUUAAUAAGUUUUAUAUUUUCAGAACAUGGAAAAAUGUGCAUCUCAUCUCUUUCAUACCAUUCCUUCUAUACUUUGCUGUCCCAGGGUACACUUUACUAUGCAUUUAUUUUCUUUUUAUAGAUGACCUAACUCACAUACACGAUAUUGAGUAUUAUUAAUUUUAAGAAUAAAAAUUAUAAUAUAGAUGUUCUAGGAGCUAUAAUUAAACUGUAAUACAUAGUUGCAGGAAACACAUAUUAAGUGGUUUUUUUUCAUUAUUAUUAUCUAGUAGUUGACUGGUAAUAUUGCUUCACUCUGAAUCAAAACCAUCUAAGACAGUCUCAUGCCAUAACUGUUUGACAAGCGAAAAUCCUUUUCUUCUGAUUUAUGGGUUUACUUGCACUAGUUACUUUAUAGACUUGAUUUAAUUAUUUAUGAAAUGUAAAACUAGCACCUAGUUCUAUGACAGAUUGAAAAAUAUACAAGCUAAUCUGGAAUUUGUCAUGUUGUGUGAGGUGAUGUUUCAUCACAGCAAAAGUAAAAAUAAUUGAGACAGGUAUCAUUGUAGAGGUAACAAUAUGGGAUGGAUAACCCAAGCUCUGUUAUACUUUCUCUGGAUUUUGAUCAACUGUAUAUUUUUGUAAGUCUCCAUUUCAAAACAAAAAUGCCUUUUUGAUGAAGAAUAGUAACUUUAUUUCUCUGUGUAUAUAAGGACAUUUUUUUAAAUGCAGUUGGGAGUUAUACUGAUUUAGGAAAAUAGUAGUACCAACUUUACCUUUCCAGCCAUGAAAAAAUCAGCAUUUAUUUCUUCCUAUUGAGCAAGCCUUAAAUCCUGUUAGGCAGCUAUUGGUUACUCACGAGAUUUAAGUGCCACCAGUGCACCUUGGGAAUAUCUUCAAUAUAUUCAAGCACUCUGAUAAGUCACCCAACAGCAAGUGACCUUCUUUGAACACAUAUAAAUAAAGAAAAAAGACUAAAUAGAUUCAAACAUCUGUGUGUGUGUGUGCGCACACGCCACACGUAAGUAUGCAUAUAUAUGUGUGCAAUAAUUAAAGAAGUCAUAAAUCUUAGAGAAAUAUGGGUAAAGGAUACAGAGAUUCAUGAAGGCAGAGAAGACAUGUGAAUACAGUACAUAUCUAGGAAAUUAUCAAAUCAAAAUUUUGAUUAAAUUUAAUAGAAUAAUUAUAGCUUUCACUCAUUUUAUUCCUUCCCCCUUUCCCCUCUUCAUCCCCCUCCCCACAUGAUCUUUCUGGUUCAGUCCACCACUUCCAUCUAUCCAUAACUAUUCUAUUUCCAGAAGCUUUGAUGUUGGUACACCCCUGGGCAAAUAGUCCUGGAUUCUAUAAGAAAACAUGCUGAGCAAGCUAUAGGUCUAAGCCUGGUAACAGCACCCCUCCUUAGCCUCUGAAUUACUUUUACCUCUAGGUUCCUGAUAAGUUUGAAUUCCUGUCCUGACUUCCUCUGAUGAUAAAUUGUGAUGUGAAUGAAUAAGCCAAAUAAACUCCUCUCCAAUGACAAAAAAACAAACAGUAAAUAUCACAAAAUGAUUUCAAAUCUUCUGCACUGAACAUUUUCAAAUAUUACUAAUAUGAGUUAAAGUUUAAAUACAUAAGCAAAUUAACUCUUUAUAUCUAUCAAACACCUGAUUCUAAAUUGUAUGUGAACAUAACGGUACCUAAAAUAUAAAAAAAAAUGUCUUAAAAAUAAAAUAACAUUUUAAGGCUUAACUUAUAUAGUUAAAAUGCUUAUGUUAGUUAUACGAUAAGGUGUGGGGGAGGUACAGGAGACAUGUCAUAAGUUAGGGCAAUAAAAAAGGCCACAAAGACAAAGAAAUUAUUUUACCUGAAAUAAACACUGAAGCCAGAAAUUGUCCCAGACCAGUGUUUUUAAAGUGCAAUGAUUUUCAUAAGAAAUCUCAAAAGAACACAGCAACAAGAUGACAUUUUACAAGUGGUGAUGAAAAAGUAGAUCUUGGUUGGUUAAAACUAGAUUUUAAUGAUGUCUAAGCAUUAAUACAAAAUUGAGAUAAACAUAAAAUGUGAAAUUACCAACUUCAGGAAGAAAAUUAUAUGGUUGGAACUUUUUCAAAUAUUUAUGAAACUAAACCAAACCUGUAGUCAUACAAGUGUAAUAUAAUUUGUAAUUUAAUAAAAUUGAGAUUAUGAUCUUGGUAAUUCAAUUUAAUAAGGGAUUGUUGCUUGUGAAGAAAUGUUUCCAAGACACAUAUCUGGGAGGAUUUGU